CCUACGGGGUGCUGCAGUGGGGAAUAUUGGACAAUGGGCGAAAGCCUGAUCCAGCCAUGCCGCGUGUGUGAAGAAGGCCUUCGGGUUGUAAAGCACUUUCAGUGGGGAAGAAAGCCUUGGGGCUAAUACCCUCGAGGAAGGACAUCACCCACAGAAGAAGCACCGGCUAACUCCGUGCCAACAGCCGCGGUAAUACGGAGGGUGCGAGCGUUAAUCGGAAUUACUGGGCGUAAAGCGCGCGUAGGCGGUCUGAUAAGCCGGUUGUGAAAGCCCCGGGCUCAACCUGGGAACGGCAUCCGGAACUGUCAGGCUAGAGUGCAGGAGAGGAAGGUAGAAUUCCCGGUGUAGCGGUGAAAUGCGUAGAGAUCGGGAGGAAUACCAGUGGCGAAGGCGGCCUUCUGGACUGACACUGACGCUGAGGUGCGAAAGCGUGGGUAGCAAACAGGAUUAGAUACCCUGGUAGUC
rnacentral:rRNA from 1 species